rnacentral:lncRNA from 1 species
AAACAUAUGAUUGAUGGUAAUUGUUGAGAAAGGAAGCACCAGCGCCUGAAGCACUGAGCAAUGCAUAACACAGAUGUUGCAGUGCCAUGCAUGGUUCAGUCGAGGUUUCCCCAUUGACAUUAACUCAUGCAUGUCAUGGUCCAGUACAACAGUCAAGAUUUCAGGUACUCUGAUUGAGCUUCCGUAGUGGAUUCCUGACCCUUGCUGGAGUGGUGUACCAGCUACUAGUUGUCUUUCUCAGAAGGACUGUAUGCACAAUAUCUCAGUUCUCCUCUAUGGCAAUUCCAUUAUUCGUGAGAUAUGCACCAAGCUUAGGGCAUGUUGGAGUUGCAAUGGUUUCACAUGAAACGGUUGAGUUCCUGAAAGAGCAGCAUCAUCAUAUCAAGAGAACAACAAUGGCAUAGACAGCAGCAUAUCAAGAGAACAACAACAGGUUAGUCACCUCUCAAAGGACCAGGGAAAAGGUGCAAUUGCAUGGAGAUACGACCG